CCCAUCCGGCCCGUUCCAGGUGCCUCCUGCCGCCGCGCAGGAGGUGAAACGGGAAGCCGGUGCGUCACUUCGGUGAUCAGUCCGGCGCUGCCCCCGCAACGGUAAGCGAGCGAAAUCCUCUUCAGGCCACUGUGCUCCGGCAUGGGAAGGCGAGGAUUUCACGACCCUCGCAAGCCCGGAGACCGGCCUGCAACGCCCUGUUGGCA
rnacentral:ncRNA from 17 species